UAGUGAAGUAACACUUCAUUGAUCCUGGGA
rnacentral:piRNA from 1 species